rnacentral:misc_RNA from 1 species
UUUCCGUAGGUGAACCUGCGGAAGGAUCAUUAAAGAGAAUAUGCCCUUCGAGGUAGAUCUCCCACCCUUUGUUUAUAUUACCUUUGUUGCUUUGGCAGGCCCGUCUUCGGACCACCGGCUUCGGCUGGUCAGUGCUUGCCAGAGGACCCAAAACUCUUAUUAUUAAUGUCGUCUGAGUACUAUAUAAUAGUUAAAACUUCCAACAACGGAUCUCUUGGUUCUG